rnacentral:rRNA from 2 species
AGACCCGAAACCCGGUGAUCUAGCCAUGGGCAGGUUGAAGGUUGGGUAACACUAACUGGAGGACCGAACCGACUAAUGUUGAAAAAUUAGCGGAUGACCUGUGGCUGGGGGUGAAAGGCCAAUCAAACCGGGAGAUAGCUGGUUCUCCCCGAAAGCUAUUUAGGUAGCGCCUCGUGAAUUCAUCUCCGGGGGUAGAGCACUGUUUCGGCUAGGGGGCCAUCCCGGCUUACCAACCCGAUGCAAACUGCGAAUACCGGAGAAUGUUAUCACGGGAGACACACGGCGGGUGCUAACGUCCGUCGUGAAGAGGGAAACAACCCAGACCGCCAGCUAAGGUCCCAAAGUCAUGGUUAAGUGGGAAACGAUGUGGGAAGGCCCAGACAGCCAGGAUGUUGGCUUAGAAGCAGCCAUCAUUUAAAGAAAGCGUAAUAGCUCACUGGUCGAGUCGGCCUGCGCGGAAGAUGUAACGGGGCUAAACCAUGCACCGAAGCUGCGGCAGCGACGCUGAUGCGUUGUUGGGUAGGGGAGCGUUCUGUAAGCCUGCGAAGGUGGCCUGUGAGGGUUGCUGGAGGUAUCAGAAGUGCGAAUGCUGACAUAAGUAACGAUAAAGCGGGUGAAAAGCCCGCUCGCCGGAAGACCAAGGGUUCCUGUCCAACGUUAAUCGGGGCAGGGUGAGUCGACCCCUAAGGCGAGGCCGAAAGGCGUAGUCGAUGGG